AGAAGGUGAACGUGUUGGAGCACCUGUCCCAGCUGGCCGUCAACACCACUAAUGUAUCCUUAUCUGUGGGGACCCAUAGGUGUCCGACUCUUCACAUUGGCCUGUACGCCACACUGGCAAUGCCCACACACCAGGCAUUUGGACCAAGGUUUGUAGAUGAGUUCAGUGUGCUGAUGGAGCUGCGUAGUGUUCAGCAGGAGGAGAGUAGCCUGGUCACCGUGCUCAGUCCCUACAGCCACAUCCAGCUGCAGCUCCGUCUCAGCCCACACACGGUCACCUUCGUCUCCACUCACCACAGACAUUACGAGUACGUUGUUAGUUUCACCUCCUAGUUUAGAUUCAUUCUGUCUUUCUGACUUUUUGUACAGUAUAGUAAAUGAAGCUGAGGUGCUUUGCUCCACUUACAGCUAAAAACAAGUCAAGUCAAGCAAUACAAAUGAAGUAAAUUAACCUCCCAUCCCGUCAUGUCCCUCUAGGUUCCCAGUAGGUAUGCUGCCUGACGGCCAGUGGCACCAGGUCUCUGUAGGUGUGUCCUCCAGCUGGCUGGCCCUCUAUGUGGACUGUGAGCUGGUGGAGAGGGUGAAUUGGACCUACCCUGGACAGGACAUUACCACUGAUGGUCUGCUGAUGCUGGGGGGCAUCAUAGAGGGCUUUGAGACUCCAUUUGAGGGUGCUCUGAGACAGAUGACCUUUUUGAUGGGUGACCCCGACGCAGCCAGACACCACUGUAACCUCCACCUCCCUAUGUGUGACGGACCGGCCCCCAAAGCUCCACGCUCCCCAAGAACACCCCACACACACCAGAAUGCCGAGUUGUCCUCUGGUGACCUGCUAGAUGACUUGACAAACAGUACAGGGAGUUCCAGAGAGAGUUCCACAGAUAAAGGGGAUGCUGUCAUGGAUCCCUCCCUCCCAGAAGGCAAGUCUCCUAUCUCCCAGCACGCAGCCACCCUACAACAACAAGGGAAUGGGUUUGUGGGAGUUGAUGAGGCAGACCCCUCUAUCCUAACCCGACACCACACGGAUACAGGUGCCCGUGGCAGCAAUUCCCCCUAUACAGUCACUGCAUUGGAUGAGAACAUCACCACAGAUGCAGAAGAUAGACCACAACAUGACAUCAUCGACCUGGACUCCCCCGGCCCCUCCCCCAGCUUCCAAAGGAAAGGCUCUGACCAGAAGAGCCCAUCCCAGUCUGGUCACCCUGACUCCAGUGUGCUCAUGGAGGUGAACCUGUUGCCUCCUGCGGGGUCAGCAGUGGAGCAGGGAAGAAUUAGUAGUGGCUCUCUCACACAGAGGAGCCAGGGGAACAGUGAGGGGGUCGGACAGGCUGGUUCUGACCACACAGGCUUGCUGACAGUGGCACCCAGUGAGGGUGAUGUCAUAGUCGGAUCUGCCAACAAGAUUUACAGGCUCCUGAGUGGCCCUCCAGGGCCAGUUGGCCCUCCAGGAGAACAAGUAAGAAUCUCUUAG
rnacentral:lncRNA from 8 species